rnacentral:rRNA from 1 species
AGCGAACGCUGGCGGCAGGCCUAACACAUGCAAGUCGAGCGCCCCGCAAGGGGAGCGGCAGACGGGAGAGUAACACGUGGGAACGUACCCUUCAGUUCGGAACAACCCAGGGAAACUUGGGCUAAUACCGGAUACGCCCGAAAGGGGAAAGAUUCACCGCUGAAGGAUCGGCCCGCGUCUGAUUAGCUAGUUGGUGGGGUAAUGGCCCACCAAGGCGACGAUCAGUAGCUGGUCUGAGAGGAUGAUCAGCCUCACUGGGACUGAGACACGGCCCAGACUCCUACGGGAGGCAGCAGUGGGGAAUAUUGGACAAUGGGCGCAAGCCUGAUCCAGCCAUGCCGCGUGGAUGAUGAAGGCCCUAGGGUUGUAAAGUCCUUUCGGCGGGGAAGAUAAUGACGGUACCCGCAGAAGAAGCCCCGGCUAACUUCGUGCCAGCAGCCGCCGUAACAC